UCAGAUCCAUGUAAUAUGAUGUUUUUAUUUUUUUGAAUAAACUAAUUAGGUACCAUGGAGGAAUAUAUAUAAAGGCGCCGAUGACUAUGAUGGACAUACACGAUUGAAGUCAGACCUUAAUGACCCUGAAAAGGAAUAUAUUUCCAAAAUUUUGUUCCAUUAAAUCGCAUUGUACUUCAACAAACAUUGAUAAAUACUCGCUAAUAAUUGGUAACCUUGUCAAUGUUAAAAAGUGAACUUUUUGUGCAUAUUUGAGUCGUCUUUUUUGUUUAUUUUAUGUAUCACUUCUGUAUAUCACGGAGUUUGAACUUCGUCAAUAAUGUGACUGGAUAUUACUUUCAUAAGUGAGUGUAGUAUUAUUAUAUUUUAUUUGUAGAUAAUGAAAAAUAAAAACUGUAAACUAUGUCCCUUGUGAUCAGACUGUCAGGAAAACAUGGUUAAAUUGAGUCAUUGAAAAUAGUUAAAUUGUGGAUAACAUCAGUAAGCAUAGUCUAUUAUGUACAAGUCAUUUUGAUGCACUUCUGUUUAUUGUUCAUAACAACACUAGAAGACUAUGAAAAGACACAGUCUCUUAUAUUAAGAUAUCAAGCGUGAGUGUUUAAAAGUUUUGAAUAAAUUACUUGUGUAAAAGUAUCUAUACAAAUUAUAUUACAAUUACGUAUAUACCCGAUACUAUUAAUAAUUUUAUUUUUUAAAUUUUGGUCAAAACAUUUUUAUCCUGAAAUUAGUGAGAUUGGUCAGAACUCUUCUGUUCCAUUUAGUUUGAAUGUUGAAAAAUAUUUAAUUAAGGUUAUGGUUUAUUUAUUAAAUGUGUUACCUAUUAUAAUAUUUUUUUUAUUAACUUUUAGUUGCCUACCAACAAAACUGAUAACUGACAAUCUGUGACAUAAGUUGAAGAAUUGUCAUCAUUAUCAAUGUUAAUAGUUUAAGUCUUAGUUCUUCCAUAAAUUUGCCUGCAGAAAAAUGUAUCUAUUUGAUGAAACUUAGCAGUCUAAUAUAAGCCUUGAGAUGUCUUUGGAAAAUUCUUCAGUCAAUGUGAGUUUUCUAACAAAUUAUAAUUUAUAUACAAGUUAAUUAUGUUAAACUAAUAUUAUUUUUAUAUUUGUAUGGCCAUUAUUAUAUCAAUUUUUGUUACUUAGUUACCAAGUCGAUCCAGAACAAUUAACUCCACUGUCGAAAACUAGCUGUGAAAAUUUUAUAAUUCAAGAAAUUUUAAUAUCCAUAAUUAAUAUUAGGUGUAUUUUAUUAAUUCGUAAUCAUAAUUUGUGUACUGUCUCUGAUGAGAAUAAAUCAAAACGACUGCUAUUGAAGUGUAGUGUUAUUUGGUGUAAAUGAAAUAUUGUUGUUAUUAUCUUAUUAUUGAUGAUGCCUUAGAUAUACUAUUGGAUUGGUUUACUUUGUUAGGUAUCUACUACCAUAGAAUAGUUGUCACUCUAUGCUUACUAUCUAUAUCCAGGGAAGGACACAAAUACAAAAUAUGUAGGUAUUUUAUUAUAACUCUGAUUUAAUAUUAUCAUAAUAAUUGAAACAUUUUUAGAAAUUGGUUGUCUAUUUAAAGUAAAAUCUAAAAACAUUGCUAUU
rnacentral:lncRNA from 1 species